UGAGUAACCUGCCCUUAACUCUGGGAUAAGCCUGGGAAACUGGGUCUAAUACCGGAUAUGACUCCUCAUCGCAUGGUGGGGGGUGGAAAGCUUUAUUGUGGUUUUGGAUGGACUCGCGGCCUAUCAGCUUGUUGGUGAGGUAAUGGCUCACCAAGGCGACGACGGGUAGCCGGCCUGAGAGGGCGAUCGGCCACACUGGGACUGAGACACGGCCCAGACCUCCGUACGGGGAGGCAG
rnacentral:rRNA from 1 species